rnacentral:snRNA from 1 species
GUGCGCGCUGCGCAGCACGUACACUAACAUUGGGACGGCACAGAGAUCAGCAUGGCCCCGCGCAAGGAUGACACACAAAUUCAGGAAGCUUUCCACACUAAA